CCUACGGGUGGCAGCAGUGGGGAAUCUUCCACAAUGGGCGCAAGCCUGAUGGAGCAACGCCGCGUGUGUGAAGAAGGUCUUCGGGUCGUAAAACCCUGUUGUUAGAGAGGAAGGUGCGUGAGAGUAACUGUUCACGUUUCGACGGUAUCUGACCAGAAAGCCACGGCUAACUACGUGCCAGCAGCCGCGGUAAUACGUAGGUGGCAAGCGUUAUCCGGAUUUAUUGGGCGUAAAGGGAACGCAGGCGGUCUUUUAAGUCUGAUGUGAAAGCCUUGGGCUUAACCGGAGUAGUGCAUUGGAAACUGGGAGACUUGAGUGCAGAAGAGGGGAGUGGAAUUCCAGGUGUAGCGGUGAAAUGCGUAGAGAUAUGGAAGAACACCAGUGGCGAAAGCGGCCCCCUGGUCUGUAACUGACGCUGAGGUGCGAAAGCGUGGGGAGCAAACAGGAUUAGAUACCCCAGUAGUC
rnacentral:rRNA from 1 species